rnacentral:rRNA from 1 species
UACAGAGGGUGCAAGCGUUAAUCGGAAUUACUGGGCGUAAAGCGCGCGUAGGCGGCCCGGUAAGUCCGCUGUAAAAGUCAAAGGCUCAACCUUUGAAUGUCAGUGGAUACUGCCGGGCUAGAGUCCGGAAGAGGAGAGUGGAAUUCCCGGUGUAGCGGUGAAAUGCGCAGAUAUCGGGGAAGAACACCCGUGGCGAAGGCGGCUCUCUGGGACGGUACUGGACGCUG